UAUCUGCAGACUAGCCAGAGAAGAUAAAUUCAGGUUAGAUCAGAAGCCUAAAUGCUUCCUUAUAGGGAUAACUCAGGCAAGCAGCAGACUUCAGUGGAAACUACAGGAGUUCAAUAACUACAUAAUGGCGAUCACCCUUAUUGACACCUUGGCUAUGCAUAGGAUGGAAAAGGAGAUCUUUCAUUAACUGUAUAGGAGGCUCUCACUACAGCAGAUCCGUAUCAUACUCUGUCAAGUAGAAUGCAAUUUGUCAGUUCCUGUGUUGCAAAUUAUAAUGAUAUCUGUUUAAAAACAUAUUUGGAAGCAGUCAGCUGGCAAGUGCAUUACAUACUGGCCCAUCUGUUACCACAGUAAUUGGGUCAGCCACUUCAGAAGAAGCUAUUUUGCCCAUGUAGUGACAGAAGCAAUGACCUCAUAUGAAGAAAGCCUGUAUCGGACCAGGGAUUCUAACAGUGGGAUAGAGGAAAGAAAAUAUUCCUAUGGAACCAACUGGAAACAGCAGACCCCAUUAGGCACGUCUUCAACUGAGUCUCUGGAGAAGGUCUAAUUGCACCUCAGAAAUGAUGCUGAAGGAAAACAAGGGAAAAGGUUCUGAAAGUUAUCAUUACAGAGGGGACUGCAAUCUACCUAAAGAGAGGGUUGCCAGGACGAGCUGUCUUCCUGUCCAGCGCUACAGAUCACCAGUUUCAGCACCCUUCUGUUAACACCAGGUACUGCCCAUGUGAAAAAAUGAUACUGGGAAGGUACUGGUGUGUUUUAAAUUUUUUGGUUGGCAAUUUUAAUUUGGAGCUUCCUUUUUAAUGAGAGUUAAUAACAGAGUUGGUUUCUGAUCUAAAGAUAAUCAGGUUUUUGGUUAGAAAAAUUACAAAGUUAUAACUCCUAUUUUAGCUGUUUGUGACAGGAGAAUCAGGCCUUCCUCUACACUAAGUAUUCAUUUUUUCUCUUCUCUCUCUGUGUCUCAGGGCAAUUAUCCAUUAGAAUAACUUUGCUAGGAUUAUAACUCUUCUCUAUUCCUAGCAAUUUUAAAAGCUGGAGUACCUGCCUUUCUUAAAGUUAGGCUCUAGUCUGAACAAGAAAUAAUUGUUACAAAAAGCUUAUGUUACCUCAUCAGAGUGGAUUUUUUUUUUUCAGUCUUUAACCCCUGAACCUUUUUAAUUUUCUCUUCUGAGACAAGCUCCAUUACUAUAUGUACAGAAUGAGUUUCUGAGAGUUCAGGUGUCCAUGAUGCCUUGGCCACCUCGGCAGUAUAAAGUCAGGUAAGAGCUUUUUGUAGUGAAACUCAACAACUUCUCACUGACACAGAUAUAUGGAACAUAUGUAAAACUGAGAAACUAAGCAAAACUUCCUCUCAAAUGUAAGGGAAGCACCUUAUAGCUUGCUUAGAGAUUAAGCACCAAAAAUACAUACACAUUCUCCAAAUGAAGUCCAAAACUGAUUUAGUGGAAAGAAAGCUAAAGGAGGAAGACAAAAGGAAAGUUGAAUCCUUCUAAAAUGAAGCUUCAUACAUUGUGCUCUCCCACUAGUUCAGACUUUGUGAUCACCAGGGUCACUUCUGGCCUUAUAGACAGUGGAUCUCCACUGCCAGCAAUGUGUGAGUGGAACUUUCAGCUACAUCAACCAUUUCCAUCACUUCUUUCACACCAGACUUACUUUAAAAUUCCCCGAAGUAUUUAACAGAGUCAUUGCUUGAACAAGACAACAGUUGCUGAAACUCAUUAACAUUUGACUUAAUCUAGCAGACUGCAUCACUGCCAAUCAAUCCAUUUCUUAGAUGAGCCUGUAAAGUGAGCAGUGAAAAACAUCCAGGAAUGGCAAGCUCAUCACAUUUCUGCCAGCUUGGGCAAAGGGCUUGCUGCUAGUGGUAAGGGAGCUAACUGUUGAAAGAGGAGCUAAAUGGUAGGACUGAGGCAGACAGGGUAAUAUUCAAACAUCGUUUCAAUACAUGCGAUCAUGUUAUCCAUAUAACAUCAAGGCCCUCAGUGCAAAUAGUCUUUGCGUACUCUUCUGUUGCGCCGUUCUGAUGGCACUUGGAGGCCCAGUUUUCUAUGUCUGCACCAUCUCAGCCUUGUGGGAAAUGCAUGCUGUGUUAUGAGAUUGGUCUAGUUGGACUGCUAAUAAAACUAAACACUUACCUGGGCACCCAGCUUUAUAGUAGGGCAGACUAUUACUUUUUAUUUUCCUGCACUGCUAAGAAACCUGGAAUUUGGUCACAAACAGUCACUUUAAUACUGUAGGCAUGGUACUCUCUCCAAGGAGCUGCUAAAGCAGCAAUGCUCAACUUCAGCUAAAUUGUCUUCCUUACCCAGGUCUUCUUUUUCCUACAGAAGUAGCCUCAUGCUUAUGGGACAGCCAGAAGGUGUGCCAACACCCAUGUUUUCCCUCUAGAUGGUAGCAGAGAACAAACUCUAAGGUACUUGCACAGUGAAGACUGGGAUGGUACCAAAGAAAAACAAUGUUGCUGGUGAAGUACAAAGCAAAAAAGCUGAAAAGUCAUGCUAUAUCAAAUUAUCUUCGUGUUCCGUUUUCAUUUGACAUAGACCUGCAGUUCAUCCACAGGCCACCGUGGUCCCUAUGCCUGAGUUUCCAACGUCAAAAGGAAUCAGGAUUCGAACACAAACCCAUACCCCUUCAUCCUGAAGCAAAAGGAGCACAGGAGUAAUUUCCAGCUCAUCUCUGGUGAGUUUUAUUCACACAGGUGAGAUACCUCACGGGCACUUUCACAUCAUUAUUUCCUUCACUGCAGAAUCAAAUUCUUGGUUUCUCCCCCCCUGCUCCCCCGCCCCCUCCCCAUUUUCCAACCUUUUCUGGAUUCUUCCAAAAUAAGUGUUGGCAAGGCCAGAGUUUAAAACACCCGUGCAAAGGUAAAAAGGACUUCUUAGUGGCAGCAUAUUGGGUUUGUGCGGCAAGGUUUUGGUAGCGGGGGGGUUACAGGGGUGGCUUCAGCGAGAAGCUGCGGGAAGCUUCCCCUACAUCUGACAGAGCCAAUGCCAGCCGGCUCCAAGACAGACCCACCGCCGGGCAAGGCUGAGCCCAUCAGCAACAGUGGUAGUCCC